GAUGAACGCUGGCGGCGUGCCUAAUACAUGCAAGUCGAGCGAACAGAUAAGGAGCUUGCUCCUUUGACGUUAGCGGCGGACGGGUGAGUAACACGUGGGUAACCUACCUAUAAGACUGGAAUAACUCCGGGAAACCGGGGCUAAUGCCGGAUAACAUUUAGAACCGCAUGGUUCUAAAGUGAAAGAUGGUUUUGCUAUCACUUAUAGAUGGACCCGCGCCGUAUUAGCUAGUUGGUAAGGUAACGGCUUACCAAGGCAACGAUACGUAGCCGACCUGAGAGGGUGAUCAGCCACACUGGCACUGAGACACGGUCCAGACUCCUACGGGAGGCACCAGUAGGGAAUCUUCCGCAAUGGGCGAAAGCCUGACGGAGCAACGCCGCGUGAGUGAUGAAGGUCUUCGGAUCGUAAACCUCUGUUAUUAGGGAAGAACAAAUGUGUAAGUAACUGUGCACGUCUUGACGGUACCUAAUCAGAAAGCCACGGCUAACUACGUG
rnacentral:rRNA from 1 species